rnacentral:rRNA from 1 species
UACGUAGGGUGCGAGCGUUGUCCGGAAUUAUUGGGCGUAAAGAGCUCGUAGGCGGUGUGUCGCGUCGGCCGUGAAAACCUGGGGCUCAACUCUGGGCGUGCGGUCGAUACGGGCAUCACUAGAGUUCGGCAGGGGAGACUGGAAUUCCUGGUGUAGCGGUGAAAUGCGCAGAUAUCAGGAGGAACACCGGUGGCGAAGGCGGUUCUCUGGGCAUUACCUGACGCUGAGGAGCGAAAGUGUGGGGAGCGAACAGG